AGCUGCGUUUGAAUUCAAACACACACUCCACCAUUGUUUCUAAUCUCACCGCUACAGUACCCAAUCUCACCGCUACAGUAACUAAUCUCACCGCCACCGCUAUUUUUAACCUCACCGAAGGGAAACACACCGCCCAUCCAAACUAGCCUUUAACCUUCCCUCGUUCUUCUCUUCUUUUGUCGCGUCGCCAAAAUUCAUUUCAACGGUGGACCUGUUAAAGCAAAUCCUUUGUUCUCGGCUUGACUUCAUUCCCCCGGUCCAUCAUCUUCUGAGUUCCUCCGAGCUUUGUUAACCCAUUUCCUUUUUCGAAGUUAGCCCAUCAAACAUCCAUAUAUUUUUAUUAAUCAAUUCUUCUUUGGUCUCUAGCUACGAUAGGUUCAACCUCUAAUGGAGUUUCUUCUACCUAGAAAGUCAAAAAAUUACUUCCUCUGCCCCAUGCAGCCAUCGCAUACGCCGCUCCGUUGGCUUCUCGUGUUUUUUAAUGACAAUCCUUGAGUCCCCUUCCAUGAUAACAUCGCUAAAUCCUAUUUCUUCAGCAAAAACGGCUCCUUUAAGGCAUGUAUACGCUUCAGCAAUUGUUAGAUAUCUAACGUUGUGGAUCAGUGUCAUUUGCUGGAGGACUUGUUUUGCGAGGAUGUAGUCUCGGAAGAUGUAGCUUACAAACUCAUUUUCCCAUAGAUUAAUUCGAACAUUGCUGAGAAUUUUUAGACUCCAAAUUUUUGUAAAAUAACUUCUAGUUAGAUCCUGGUCUGUUGAAAUUUCAUUUCCCAUCAUAUUUAAAUCUUCUAAGACACACCUUUUGUAACCGUUUUUUACCGUGUAUUCUCUCAACCUGUCACCUUACUAAAACCUUAUAUCUAGUUGCAGAGCGUUCCCCAAAGGAAUGGAUCCAAUCUCACUAGCUUGUUCUUCUGGGAAAAACCCUCUCAAGGUUUCCUCCUUUCAGGAAACCAUGGAUUGUUUCAUAUGUUAACUGAUCUACUAUCUCUGAUUCUUCAACCCAUUCUUGAUUCCAAAAUACUCCGAGCGUUCCAUAUGCUUCUCUAGGUAAACGAAGGGUAAGCCCCUAGUUCGGCAUUCAAAAAGUCACUUCAUGGGUAGUAUUUAGAUUUCAUUACUUGUACAAGUAAGCUUGUGGGAUUGGUGAUUAGCUUCCAUCCUUGCUUUGCCAACAAGGCAUUAUUAAAAUUUGAUAAAUCUCUAAAUCUCAUCCCCCAUUGCGCCUUUAAGAUGCAUAAUGACAACCACCAACACUAGUAAAUACCCUUAUCCGUUUUUAAAUUUUACCACCAGAAUUUACACAUAAUAUUCUCUAAUUCCCGGCAUAAAGAACUUGGUAAUCUGCAACAUUGCAUAGCAUAGAUUGGAAUGACUUGUAAGACUGAUUUGAUAAAAACCUCUUUUCCUCCAAUAGGCAAAUUGCGAAUGCUUCAGUUCUUCACUUUUGUCAAAAAAAAUUAUUUAUUUCCACAAAAGCAUUUCUCUUUCGCCUCCCCACCAUUGUCAGUAAUCCAAGGUAUUUCUCCGGAUUGUUGGUCAUACGAACCCCCAACUCCCUUCCUAUUUGCAAUUUAACCGUAUCGUUGACAUUGUUGCUAAAGUAAAUUAAUGACUUUUUAAAAUUCACCAUCUGUCCCGAUAUUUUUUCAUAGGCAUUAAUAACUGAUCGAAUUGCUAAAGCUCCUUCCACUGUUGCUUUUCCAAAUAAGAUACUGUCGUCAGCCAAAAAAAGGUGGGUUAUUGACAAACACCCUCUAUCUAUUUUCCCCCCUUAUAUUUUUCUUUCCCUUUUUUACAAUAUUAAGAAGUCUUGAAAAGCCCUCAGCACAAAUGAUAAAUAAAUAUGGGCUUAAGGGAUCUCCUUGCCUUAUUCCUCUAGUAGGACUGAAACCAACCCCUUUCCUCCAUUAAGCACAACGGAGUAUGAAACGCUUUUGAUGCACCCACUUGUCACAAAACCAAGCUUUCCCAUCAUAUUUUCAACGAAAAUCUACUUAACCUUACCGUAUGCUUUGCUCAUGUCUAGUUUUAGAGCAAAAUUACCAAUUCAUAUCUUUUCUUCUUAAAAGAGUACAAUAAUUCAUAUGCCACUAAUAUGUUAUCUGUAAGCUGUCUAUCUAGGACAAAAGUGCCUUGUGCAUCAUCAAUGUAGUAGCCAGGAGCCUUCCUAAAUCUAUUGACUAUAUAUCUUUUGAGAUUAUUUUAUAAACUACACUGUAAAGG